AGAGUUUGAUCAUGGCUCAGAAUCAGCGCUGGCGGCGUGCCUAACACAUGCAAGUCGAACGCGAAAGUGGAGCAAUCCAUGAGUAGAGUGGCAAACGGGUGAGUAACGCGUGGGCGACCUACCUUCGAGUGGGGGAUAACCUUCCGAAAGGAGGGCUAAUACCGCAUGACAUCCCGUGUUUGGAUACACGGACAUCAAAGCCGGGGAUCGCAAGACCUGGCGCUUGAAGAGGGGCCCGCGUCCGGUUAGCUAGUUGGUGAGGUAACGGCUCACCAAGGCUCCGAUCGGUAUCCGGCCUGAGAGGGCGGACGGACACACUGGAACUGAGACACGGUCCAGACUCCUACGGGAGGCAGCAGUGGGGAAUUGUUCGCAAUGGGCGCAAGCCUGACGACGCAACGCCGCGUGGAGGAUGAAGACUUUCGGGUCGUAAACUCCUUUCGACCGAGAUGAAUGUCCCUCGACCCAACACGUUGAGGGAGUGACAGUAUCGAGGGAAGAAGCCCCGGCUAACUCUGUGCCAGCAGCCGCGGUAAUACAGGGGGGGCAAGCGUUGUUCGGAAUUACUGGGCGUAAAGGGUUCGUAGGUGGCCAACUAAGUCAGACGUGAAAUCCCUCAGCUUAACUGGGGAACUGCGUCUGAUACUGGUUGGCUUGAGUGCAGGAGAGGAACGCGGAAUUCCAGGUGUAGCGGUGAAAUGCGUAGAUAUCUGGAGGAACACCGGUGGCGAAGGCGGCGUUCUGGACUGC
rnacentral:rRNA from 1 species